UACAGAGGGUGCGAGCGUUAAUCGGAAUUACUGGGCGUAAAGGGCGCGUAGGCGGCACUGUUAGUCAGGCGUGAAAGUCCUGGGCUUAACCUGGGAACUGCGCUUGAUACGGCAGAGCUAGAGGAUGGAAGAGGGUCGCGGAAUUCCCAGUGUAGAGGUGAAAUUCGUAGAUAUUGGGAAGAACACCGGUGGCGAAGGCGGCGACCUGGUCCAUUACUGACGCUGAGGCGCGACAGCGUGGGGAGCAAACAGG
rnacentral:rRNA from 1 species